AGCAAACCAUUCUUUCUCAGUUUAAUCAUAAAGUAGUGAUACAUGUUCUACAUUUUUUAUUUUCUUAUUGUAAAAUGGAAGAGGAGAGUUCAUAUGGUUCUUCCGCCACUAGUUAUAUUUAUUAGCUAAUUAACUAUUACAGGCCUUCACAAAAAACCUGUGAGUUAGAUUGGAAAAAAUAGUGCAAGAUUAAUUUCCACUCUUUGAUCUACAAUGUGAAAAAGGAGUAGAUGAAUUUUGGGUAUUUGGCCUCUUUUUGAUAGAAACCAGAUUUUUCUCUAUACUCCUAAGGAUUGAGGUCUCAAGUGGCCUAAUCAAAAUGUCCUCUCUCCCAAUCUGACUCAUAGGGACAGUAGAAAUUGCCUUCAGAGCUGCUAGAGAUAACAAAUGCUUCUAUUCCUUCCAAGAUCAUUCAGGCCCAAGACAAUUUUGCACCCUUUACAGCCUCUAUUAAUAUUAUGAGGAAAGUGAAUUCCUUUCAGGCCCUAUAGGCCUCUCCAACAUUACUUUGCUAGGAGGGCAUUAUCAAAAGGAUUCAUGUCCUUAAAUCCUAUUCCUCCUUCUCCUUGCUGCGAGUAAGUUUUUGCUACUUUGCUGAUGCAUCUUACUUUAAUCUUGUCCUUACCUUCCCCAAAAUUUUGCCAUAGCUGUAUUGACUUCAUCACAUAUCUUCUUAGGUAGCUUAAAACUAGGUUGUGUAAGUUGGGAUUGCACGUUCAAACUUUUUGAGAAGUAUUUAUCUUGCUUCUUGAGGUAAAAUUUUCAGCAUCCUUUCUUCACAUAUCUUAUGAGUUUAUUAAACUCCCCCUGUACUGUAUUCUUGAUACUAACAACAGUCAUACUGCAUGGUUAACAAGUGACCUUUGAUUUACCAUCUAAAGCAGCUGAUAUGGCACCAUUUAGCAAUAGGUGGAUAGGCACAACCUGAAUAUAAAACCACGACAAACCCUGGGCUUAACCAAUAUGGUAUAACACCACAUAACACUCUUGCUCAUGUAUAGGCCUAAUAAUAAUAACAAUUGAGACAAAUGGUGCUUCUGCAUGCAUCAGUACAAGGUAACAAACAACUUAGUCUAUCAUACCAUGUAAAGGCAUCCAACUUAAAAGGAGGCUGCAAUAAUACAUUGAAUUUAACUAAUCUGUGAUAAAAGUAGUUAACUAUGGGGACAAAGAAGAAGGUUAGAAAAGAGACAAUGAUACAAAUGUUGUUAUUGGUAUUGGGACUUGAAUCUAUUUAGACAUGGUUGUUAGUAAUCAUGAUUUUAUGUAUAUUGCAUUGUAUUUUUGCAUAGACUUUUCUGUAAGAUUGGAUGGAUUGUAAUUAGCUUCUUUUAACGUGGAAGUUUUCUUGCAACAAUAGUGUGGGCUCACAUGCACUUGGCAGGACUAAUUUAAACUUGAUUCUACAAAUUUUAAUAUCAUCUAUUGGAGGUUUUUGCAUCUUUCUUUGAAUCUUUUUGCAAAUUGACUAUAUUAAUGAAGUUAUAUAUUGGAUAAAAGGGAAAGACCAUGUAAGGAAUGUUGUCAAUUCACUUACUUAUAGAAAUCUUCAGAAUAUGUUUAGAAAAUGAUGUGAAAUUGAGGUAUAAGAUUGAUGUUACUCCUUUGAUGGUGUCUAGCUGGUGUUCCGCAUUCUUGAAUGGGAAAAUAGAGGAAAAGGAUUUUUGCCAAGCAUUACCAUACUGGAUUGUUGAGUCUGCAAUCAAGGGAUAUUUAUCAUGUGAGUUUACUUGUAUUUUCACUAUUGAGAGUAUUGAGGGCGACUUCUCUUUAAUUGCAUCAAGUCAAGUGUAUGCUUUCUACAUGCACACUAUGGUUCUUUAGCCCAUUGAUUAAGAUUUAUUUCUUCUCAUGAGUGAUAAUGCAAAAGAGAUUUAUGAAUAUCAUUAUAUAGAAUUGUUAAAGAGAUACAUAACUAACUUCUUUAUUGAUCUUAUAUCAUAGAAAGAUAUUCUAGUAUCUCAAGAAAUAAACAUUUUAGUCUUUAGUAAUAGAAACUACUGGAAUAGCUUAUGGAUUCUGAGAUUGUUACGACCCAAUUUCCCGGGCCAUGACCGACGCAUGAGCUCAAUGAGCAUAGCUCACUAAGCCCAAGCAAGCCUAUCCAUUUACCUUUGCUUAACAAAUUUAUCAUAUCAUGCAUACACACACACCUUUUUCUGGGUGUGAACAUAGCCAAAACAUAAUGACAUUAUCGAUAAUAAUAUACAUGCACUAUACCAGUCAUGUAUUUAGCAAUUUACAUUGCAUACACAUAUUCACAUUGUUAGAUUGUAUUCACAAUACAAAAAGACCCAUAACUUCCAACAGAGACAUUUACAAUAAAAUGGAUUACUAUCGAAUGUCAGACACAUACCCAGGAGAUGCACUAUGGGGACUCCUCAAUCUAGGGUCCAACAGUCACCUGAUCUGAAAACAUGAAUUUUUAUAAAACGUGAGUACAAUACUCAGUGAGUGAACAAG
rnacentral:lncRNA from 1 species